rnacentral:rRNA from 1 species
UACGUAGGGUGCGAGCGUUAAUCGGAAUUACUGGGCGUAAAGCGUGCGCAGGCGGUUAUUUAAGCCAGACGUGAAAGCCCCGGGCUUAACCUGGGAAUGGCGUUUGGGACUGGAUGGCUGGAGUACGGCAGAGGGAGGUGGAAUUCCACGUGUAGCAGUGAAAUGCGUAGAGAUGUGGAGGAACACCGAUGGCGAAGGCAGCCUCCUGGGCCAGUACUGACGCUCAUGCACGAAAGCGUGGGGAGCAAACAGG